rnacentral:rRNA from 1 species
UACGUAGGGGGCAAGCGUUGUCCGGAAUCAUUGGGCGUAAAGCGCGUGUAGGCGGCUCGGUAAGUCUGCUGUGAAAGUCCAGGGCUCAACCCUGGGAUGCCGGUGGAUACUGUCGAGCUCGAGUCCGGAAGAGGCGAGUGGAAUUCCUGGUGUAGCGGUGAAAUGCGCAGAUAUCAGGAAGAACACCUAUGGCGAAGGCAGCUCUCUGGGACGGUACUGACGCUGAUGCGCGAAAGCGUGGGGAGCAAACAGG